AGUGAACGCUGGCGGUAUGCCUAACACAUGCAAGUCGAACGGCAGGACAGUAAGAGCUCGCUCUUACGGGUGGCGAGUGGCGGACGGGUGAGGAGUACAUCGGCAUCUACUUUUUCGUGGGGGAUAACGUAGGGAAACUUACGCUAAUACCGCAUACGACCUACGGGUGAAAUCAGGGGAGCUUCGCACCUUGCGCGAUUGAAUGAGCCGAUGGCGGCUUAGCUUGUUUGCGUGGUAAAGGCCCACCAAGGCGACGAUCCGUAGCUGGUCUGAGAGGAUGGUCCGCCCCACUGGAACCGGGAAAAGGUCCAGACUCCCUAGGGAAGGAGCAGUUGGGAAUAUUGGCGAAAUGGGGGAAGCCUGAUCCAGGCAUCGCGGGGGGGUGAAGAAGGCUUUCGGGUUGUAAAACCUUUGUGUUGGGAGAGAAACACAUGAGGUUAAAACCACGCUGGUCUGAAGGUAACCUAAGAAUAAGCCCAGGCUUAAUUCGUG
rnacentral:rRNA from 1 species